rnacentral:rRNA from 1 species
CCUACGGGUGGCAGCAGUAGGGAAUCUUGCACAAUGGGCGAAAGCCUGAUGCCGCAACGCCGCGUGUGUGAAGAAGGUCUUCGGAUCGUAAAACACUGUCAGCAGAGAAGAAAGUGCUAGAGAUUAACCCUUCACGCAUCGACGUUACCCAACCAGAAAGCACCGGCUAACUACGUGCCAGCAGCCGCGGUAAUACGGAGGUGGUAAGCGUUAACCGGAUUUAUUGGGCGUAACGGGAACGCAGGCGGUGUUUUAAGUCAGAUGUGAAAGCCCUCGGCUUAACCUGGGAACUGCAUUGGAAACUGGGAGACUUGAGUGCAGGAGAGGGGAGUAGAACUCCAGGUGUAGCGGUGAAAUGCGUAGAUAUCUGGAGGAACACCAGUGGCGAAAGCGGCUCUCUGGACUGUAACUGACGCUGAGGUUCGAAAGCGUGGGGAGCAAACAGGAUUAGAUACCCGUGUAGUC